GCCAGGCAUGGUGGUGCAUGCCUGUAGUCCCAGCUACUUGGGAGGCCAAGGCGGGAGGAUCACUUGAGCCUGGGAGGCCAAGGCUGCAGUGAGCUGAGAUCAUGCCACUGCACUCCUGCCUGGGUGACUGAGUGGGACCCUGUGUUUG
rfam:Pan troglodytes isolate Yerkes chimp pedigree #C0471 (Clint) chromosome X, whole genome shotgun sequence.